GAUAGGUACGGCCUUUGCGGCGUCCUUUUCCUGUUCCUGGGACCCGGAUGUGUCUGGAGCCGCAGCGUCCACCUUGCAGUGAUGAGAUGACUUUGAGCACAGUGCAGGAGGAAUAUACAGAUCCUCACAAGAAGCAGGAUGCUCGGUGCCUCGAACGUACAGUUUACAGUAGGGUUCUCGCUCCUAUGAGAAUCUGUCAGCCCUCGUCCUGGUCUGGCAUUGACUCGACCAAGCAAAGCAGUGAGCUCACAGAUGACAAAGGCAAGGCAUUGAAGUGUAGGUUCUGAUCUAGCACCUGGAGCUGUUG
rnacentral:lncRNA from 1 species